UUAGAAGAAGAUAACUGACAUUGGAAAAUUCUGAGUUCGGUCCUUAUUAUAAAGUGAUAAAUUAUUAAUAAAUAUCAUUAAACAAUAUGAGCUUAAAAUUAUUGUGGAAUUGCGCCAGGAUAAUCUUGUUAUCAGGAUUAUCUUUUGGAAUUUAAAAUAUAUACUCCAAAUUGCAGUGGACUAUAAUUGGGGGUAUAAAGAAUCCGCUUGGGCAGGUAACAGUGGCCGCAUGAUUUGCGUGUCCUUACUGGGUCUCGUGAGUGCUACGGCGUUAAUCGUUUGCAUACCCUACUGCACUCAGAAAAUCUUACAUCGCAAGUGUACCUGCCCACCUGUGCCCAUCUGCCCUGACUGCGGAAUACCCUACUGAAUAUUGUUAAAAAUUCUUAACUUUAGUCAACUAAAAUUGAAUCUAUAUUCUUCUUAAUAGAGAUAUUGUUACGAACGAUUAAACAUCUGUUGUAUUAAAUUUAUUUUAAAUUGAAAAUAUGAUUUGUUUAUCUGCAGCCACCGCUAUGGCAGCCGCGGGAAUCAUUGUUAUCGGUCCGAUAAUAUGCGAAAGACUUUGUAAAUGUCUUAAAACGAAAAAGAAAUGAAAGUUUUAAUCUAAAUAA